GUCUUUCCGCCCAUCGCCCACGAUAGCGGCUGCAUGGCGGGCGCGGAGUUGGGGGCGGCGCUCGAGCAGCGAGCGGCUCGGUGCCCUGGCCAUCCACACUGAGGUCGUGGAGCACCCCGAGGUGAGGCCCCUAGAAGCGACCGCGGAGACAGGCCCAGCGGGGUGGGCUGUGCUGCACGUCCGUCGGGCGAGGCCGCUGAGAUCAGGUGUCCCACGGUCAAUGUACCGUGAGAACGUCGCUCCUGGAAUAUUUCCCCGGUCUCAAAAUACGAAAGUGACCCUGCAGGGACAGCAGAGGACUUCCGUCUUGGGACCAUGAGGUUACUGCACGGAAAUCUUUACUCUUGGGAGUGAUUUGCUUACAUUCCGUGUUGAGAACCAGCACAACAUACGGAGGACUGUGCAUCUUAAAUCGGUCUGGGAUGCUGGGUCAGUUUGUCCACUUUUUGUGUAGAUAAAAUAAGCAAGUGGUUAAUAGUGUGUUCAGUAGGUACGACGUAUCAGGCACCAUACAUAGAGCAGGACACUGAGGUUCACAGUGAUAUUUUUCUACUGUGGUCAGGGUUGAUCACAAAGCAUGCAGCAUGGCAGAAACCACCACCACCCGUGAAGUGCUUACCAAAAUUGACAUGCCUGUAUUUUCAUAAAUUGUAACAUUUGUUGUGUUUUGAUAGAAAGUCUUACUUGCAUUUAUUUUAUUUAUUUAUUUAUUUAUUUAUUUAUUUAUUUAUUUAUUUAUUUGAGACAGAGUCUCUGUGGCCCAGGCUGGAGUGCAGUGGUGCGAUCUCGGCUCAAUGCAACCUCUGCCUCCCGGGUUCAAGCCAUUCUCCUGCCUUAGCCUCCCGAAUAUCUGGGACUACGAAUAUCUGGGACUACAAGCGCCCGCCACCACGCCUGGCUAAUUUUUGCAUUUUUAGUAGAGACGGGAUUUCGCCAUGUUGGCCUGGCUGGUCUCGAACUCCUGACCUCAGGUGAUGCUCCCACCUGGGCUUCCCAAAGUGCUAGGAUUACAGGCGUGACCCACCGCGCCAGACCACUUGCAAAUAUUUCACAGAGCCAAUGUGUAACUUGAGUGGUGCAAGGACAUGAAGUUUACCCAAGGCUUAACAGUUGAUAAUGGCUAAAUAUGGUGAUCUUCAAAGAGUAGAGAAAUAUAGUUAGUAUUCCUCACCUUCACAAAUACAACAUCAAAACCGUAAUCAUUUUCUGUGACCUUCCUCCCUCCCAUAUAGUCCUAUAUUCUCCCCCUUCUUUAUGUGUGCAUAUGCCAGCUUUUCUGAUGUUCUGUUAGUCUGGGUUCUUAUUGCCUCCCCACUCACCUUCUUUGUGGUUACAUAUUUGUAGAAUGGAGUUUGUCACAUGGUCUGGACGUAACGGAAUGCUAAAGAAUAGGAGUCUAGAACUGCUGUAAACUUUCAGUAACCAAAAGCUUAAAUUUAGAAAUAAAAAGCUGCUGAAGAGUGAGAUAUUGGCAAGUACAUUGGAAUACAAAACUGGCCGAAGAAACUGCCUGAGGUCCUGAGAUGAGGAAAUGAGAUGGCAUGGGCUUAUAAGUAAUUAUUUGGUAAAGGGGUGAAGAUGGGUCUUUAACAGUGAAAUUCAGGGCGAUAAGCACUCCCAAACCUUGCUGUUUUCACCCAGCAGGCAAAAUAGGUAUAAACGUGUGCAUAUGUAAACAUGCAUAUUACUUUAAAACUUACUGAUAUUUUAUAGCUAUUUACAGUUGAAGAAAUGAUGCCUCAUAUCCAACAUCUGAAAGGAGCACAUAGUAAGAACUUAUUUCUUAAAGACAAAAAGAAAAAGAAUUAUUGGCUGGUGACAGUUCUUCAUGAUAGACAAAUUAAUUUAAAUGAGCUUGCCAAGCAGUUAGGUGUUGGGAGUGGAAAUCUGCGAUUUGCUGAUGAAACAGCCAUGCUAGAAAACCUAAAAGUUGGUCAAGGCUGUGCCACACCCUUGGCACUUUUCUGUGAUGGUGAUGUGAAGUUUGUUCUGGAUUCUGCUUUUCUCGAAGGUGGACAUGAAAAGGUGUACUUUCAUCCAAUGACCAAUGCUGCAACCAUGGGAUUGAGCCCUGAAGACUUUCUCACAUUUGUGAAGAUGACAGGACAUGAUCCCAUAAUACUAAAUUUUGAUAAAAACAACUAAUUGGGCCAAUGUUUAGAAUACAUUUCUUUCUGAAA
rnacentral:sRNA from 1 species